GUAAGGAAUAUUGGUCAAUGGACGAAAGUCUGAACCAGCCAUGCCGCGUGGAGGAUGAAGGUCCUCUGGAUUGUAAACUUCUUUUAUAUGGGACGAAAAUGGGGCUUUCUAGCUCAACUGACGGUACCAUAUGAAUAAGCACCGGCUAACUCCGUGCCAGCAGCCGCGGUAAUACGGAGGGUGCAAGCGUUAUCCGGAUUCACUGGUUUUAAAGGGUGCGUAGGUGGAUUGGUAAGUCAGAGGUGAAAUCUCCGAGCUCAACUCGGGAACUGCCUUUGAUACGAUCAAUCUUGAAUACGGAGGAGGUUAGCGGAAGAGGUCAUGUAGCGGUGAAAUGCUUAGAUAUGACAUAGAACACCAAUUGCGAAGGCAGCUGGCUACACAUAUAUUGACACUGAGGCACGAAAGCGUGGGGAUCAAACAGGAUUAGAAACCCCAGUAGUCC
rnacentral:rRNA from 1 species